ensembl:rRNA 5S_rRNA 5S ribosomal RNA
GUCUACGCCCAUACCACCCUGAACGCGCCCGAUAUCUUCUGAUCUCGGAAGCUAAGCAGGGUCGGGCCUGGUUAGUACUUGGAUGGGAGAAAAUGCUUGUGAGCCUUGGACUGCAAGGAGA